AUUGAACGCUGGCGGCAGGCCUAACACAUGCAAGUCGAACGCGUGGCGGACGGGUGAGUUAUGUCUGGGAAACUGCCUGAUGGAGGGGGAAAACUACUGGAAACGGUCUAUAAUACCGCAUACUAUCAGAUGUCCCCAGAUGGGAUUAUCUAGUUGGGGGGGUAACGGCUCACCAAGGCGACGAUCCCUAGCUGGUCUGAGAGGAUGACCAGCCACACUGGAACUGAGACACGGCCCAGACUCCUACGGGAGGCAGCAGUGGGGAAUAUUGCACAAUGGGCGCAAGCCUGAUGCAGCCAUGCCGCGUGUAUGAAGAAGGCCUUCGGGUUGUAAAGUACUUUCAGCUGGGAGGCGUUACCCGCAGAAGAAGCACCGGCUAACUCCGUGCCAGCCGCCGCGGUAAUAC
rnacentral:rRNA from 1 species